CUCUCCGUAGCUCAGUUGGUAGAGCAGCUGACUCUUAAUCAGCGGGCCACAGGUUCGAGUCCUGUCGGGGAGA
rnacentral:tRNA from 1 species